rnacentral:lncRNA from 1 species
GCCCACCGUGAUCUCUGUGGCCUGAUCGACCAGCUCGUGGCGAAGAAGAAGGACCGGAAGAAGGCGGUGCAAGGGCGGUAGGAGAAACUAUUGGGUUGACUCAUUCUCGUCAGAUACAGACAAAGACCCUAAAAAUCCUUUACAUCAACGUGCUUUCUAUUAAAUGCUAGCCAUGGUUGACGCAUGGGGUGGUGGACAAAAAAAAAAAAAAAGAUUACGUCUCCAUGAGGCCCACUCACGGCUUCCUCUCUUCUCCCUAUGAACAAAACAAAUGUUCCCAAAGAUCUCGCCUUUUACUUCCACGGACAUCUCGAUCGCAACCAUGAAUGGGGUCGCCAAGCC